rnacentral:tRNA from 1 species
GCAGUGGUGGGUCAGUGGCAGAAUUCUCGCCUUCCAUGCAGGAGACCUGGGUUUGAUUCCUGGCCAAGGCA